UCUAUGGAUCGAGAAGAGUGUGUUGUGGUACUUACUUCUACUGGGCAGCAGAUGGAGCCUUGUGGGGUUAUUUUGCAGGUGAUUUGUUGACAGGUUUCCUCAAGUGCUCAGAAAGUUCAGUGAAGAUCCAUUUUGAAAAGUGCUCCACUUGGAUACAGGAGUCGUUAAAGCAUCUGGAAAUGCUAUUAAAACAGAGCUCACGGUCCAACACACAGUUUGCAUCAGGUGUUGGAGGGAAUUUCUGGGGAAAGGAUAUGUGGUUGCUCUGCUUGACGGUAUACCUACAAUAAACCGUACACCUUGUG